rnacentral:lncRNA from 1 species
CAAUAUUAAGAAAUGAAGUGCUGAUGGCCAGCUUCGCAUUAUUUUCAUGAAAGAAGAUCCUCGUCCUUUGACUUCAGAAAGCAACCGUUGGUAUUGUCAACGGAAACCGACCUAGGCGACACAGGACACUGCAACAGCAACCGUUGGUAUUGUCAACGGAAACCGACCUAGGCGACACAGGACACUGCAACAGAUUUAUUGUCAGGAUAAAUCCUGAGCAAAGCAAGUGUUCUUCCAAGGUCCAGCUGAGCAGAAGGACUGGCAGGAUGGUGCAACGAAAAAAUGAAUCCCUCAAUCCACACGUGGCAUCGUUUAUCAGAGGC